rnacentral:rRNA from 1 species
AUGAACGCUGGCGGCGUGCCUAAUACCUGCAAGUCGCGCGAACGGACGAGAAGCUUGCUUUUCUGAUGUUAGCGGCGGACGGGUGAGUAACACGUGGAUAACCUACCUAUAAGACUGGGAUAACUUCGGGAAACCGGAGCUAAUACCGGAUAAUAUUUUGAACCGCAUGGUUCAAAAGUGAAAGACGGUCUUGCUGUCACUUAUAGAUGGAUCCGCGCUGCAUUAGCUAGUUGGUAAGGUAACGGCUUACCAAGGCAACGAUGCAUAGCCGACCUGAGAGGGUGAUCGGCCACACUGGAACUGAGACACGGUCCAGACUCCUACGGGAGGCAGCAGUAGGGAAUCUUCCGCAAUGGGCGAAAGCCUGACGGAGCAACGCCGCGUGAGUGAUGAAGGUCUUCGGAUCGUAAAACUCUGUUAUUAGGGAAGAACAUAUGUGUAAGUAACUGCGCACAUCUUGACGGUACCUAAUCAGAAAGCCACGGCUAACUACGUG